UACGGGGGGGGCAAGCGUUGUUCGGAAUUACUGGGCGUAAAGGGCUCGUAGGCGGCCAUCUAAGUCGGACGUGAAAUCCCUCGGCUUAACCGGGGAACUGCGUCCGAUACUGGAGGGCUUGAGUGUGGGAGAGGGAUGCGGAAUUCCGAGGUGUAGCGGUGAAAUGCGGUAGAUAUCUGGAGGAACACCGGUGGCGAAGGCGGCAUCCUGGACCAUGACUGACGGCUGAGGAGCG
rnacentral:rRNA from 1 species